GACGAACCACACAAACGUUAUUCGGAAUUACUGGGCUUAAAGGGUGCGUAGGCUGUGCGGAAAGUUGGGUGUGAAAUCCCCCGGCUCAACCGGGGAAUUGCGCCCAAAACUACCGUGCUUGAGGAAGACAGAGGUGAGCGGAACUUCGGGUGGAGCGGUGAAAUGCGUUGAUAUCCGAAGGAAAACCGGUGGCGAAAGCGGCUCACUGGGUCUUUUCUGACGCUGAUGCACGAAAGCUAGGGGAGCAAACGGG
rnacentral:rRNA from 1 species